rnacentral:rRNA from 1 species
GACGAACGCUGGCGGCGUGCUUAACACAUGCAAGUCGAACGGAAAGGCCCUGCUUUUGUGGGGUGCUCGAGUGGAGAACGGGUGAGUAACACGUGAGUAACCUGCCCUUGACUUUGGGAUAACUUCAAAAAACUGGGGCUAAUACCGGAUAGGAGCUCCUGCUGCAUGGUGGGGGUUGGAAAGUUUCGGCGGUUGGGGAUGGACUCGCGGCUUAUCAGCUUGUUGGUGGGGUAGUGGCUUACCAAGGCUUUGACGGGUAGCCGGCCUGAGAGGGUGACCGGCCACAUUGGGACUGAGAUACGGCCCAGACUCCUACGGGAGGCAGCAGUGGGGAAUAUUGCACAAUGGGCGGAAGCCUGAUGCAGCAACGCCGCGUGCGGGAUAACGGCCUUCGGGUUGUAAACCGCUUUCGCCUGUGACGAAGCGUGAGUGACGGUAAUGGGUAAAGAAGCACCGGCUAACUACGUG